UACGUAGGGACCAAGCGUUGUUCGGAUUUACUGGGCGUAAAGGGCGCGUAGGCGGCAAUUCAAGUCAUCUGUGAAAUCUCCGGGCUUAACCCGGAAACGGUCAGGUGAUACUGUUUUGCUAGAGUGCGGAAGGGGCAAUCGGAAUUCUCGGUGUAGCGGUGAAAUGCGUAGAUAUCGAGAGGAACACCAGAGGUGAAGACGGGUUGCCGUGGGCCGACACGUGACGCUGACAGCGCGAAAGCCAGGGGAGCAAAACGGG
rnacentral:rRNA from 1 species